rnacentral:rRNA from 1 species
UGGUGGAGUGAUUUGUCUGGUUAAUUCCGUUAAUGAACGAGACCGCAGCCUGCUAAAUAAUCACAGUAAUGAUUUUUCAUUGCUGAUGGUUUCUUAGAGGGACAUGUAGUAUAAAACUACAGGAAGAUUGCGGCAAUAACA